rnacentral:lncRNA from 1 species
AAAAUAUCUCCUGAUUCUGUUCAUAUGCGUGAUGCCUUUUAUCAUGCCCAAAUAAACCCACAAUUGACGUUUUUAAGACUCUUGUGAACCUAUUUAUGGCCAAAAGAAAAUAUGUUAAUUUUAUUGAAAAGUCCAGAGAACUCCGAAAGAAAUGUUGACCAAUAUAAAAAAAAUUAUAGAUGAAUGAUAAGUACACCACCGAAAUGGAUAAACUUGAAUUUAGUGCUCCUUUAAAGGAGGAACUUACACUAAAACAAAAAAAAUCAAAAAUCUUUCCUUUACACAUGACCGACAUUUCGUCUGCAAC